AUCAAGUUAAAGAGUCACAUGAGGAAACUAGUCUUCACAAAAUUGAGACGAUGGUGGCUUUUCAGGCAUUAGGUGAAAAAAAAAUUACAGAAGAAAAGGGGAAUCACGGGGUGGUUGUUGUGGAGGAGAAUUGGGACCCGAAUAUUAUGGUGGUCGAGGGUGAGAACAUGUCAAAUAAGUCGGGGUUGAAGUUUUUGAAAGGUGGGCCAUCUUCCCGCGUCCCGCCAAAACCUUCUACUGUGAAAUGGGGUAAGUUUAGGGACCAAAACCAUCAUGGGUUGUGAAACAAGAAGAAGGUUGAUGCUAUGAUGCCAGUGGUGGAUCUAGUGGAGAACAUCUCUAAGCAGAUUGAUUCUGCAAUAAGGAAUAUUGAAGUGCCAAGAGAAGAUGGGAUGGAGCUAUUGGAAGCGGAAAGCGACAAGGGGAACUUCCAGGCUAAAUGUUAAAUUUGAGUUGUACUAUUAGAAACCAGGUUAAGUGGGGUUCGAGCAGAUUCAAUUAUCUUGAAUUCAAGUGUUAAAUUUUCUCGCAGAGUGGAGGCACGAGGUUUUGCUGGUGGUAUUUGGGUGCUAUGGAAUGAAUUUGUUUCAAUAGAUAUCCAGGUAAGCCAUUUCCAAUUCAUUCAUAUGUCACUCUUUAUGGUUCAAAAGGCCAAAGCAUUUUAUUGAACAGUUUGUAUAUGGGAGUCCAGAUGUGAGGAAACGUGAAAUUUUAUGGAAUGCUUUAAGUAAGAUAGCGAGGGUUAUGAGGAAACCUUGGAUGCUAGUGGGAGACUGGAAUGCUAUUUUGGACACAAUUGAUUAUCAAGGUCCAAAUUUGAUGAGGAGACAGUGGUGCAGGAGAUUCAAAGCUUUUUUGUCUGAUUACAAUUUGAUUGAUUUAGGUUUCUUUGGCCCCAAAUUCACUUGAAACAGGGGUACAACUUUUGAAAGGCUAGAUCGUGGAAUUAGAAAUAUUGAUUGGGUUAAUGAAUUUCCAAAUUAUGCAAUUUGGCAUCUCCAUAAAUUAAAAUCAGACCAUUGACCUUUACUUACUACAUUUGAUGGGAUAGAGAAGAAAAAAGGUUUGCGUCGGUUUCAUUUUUUUGAUGGUUGGUUAUCUCAUAAAACAUUUCCUGAAUUGGUUAAAGGAAACUAGAAUUUUAAUGGGGAUAUUAUGGAGACUGUCAAUAAUUUUGUAGGUGUAGCAAAGGAAUGGAAUCUUAACACUUUUGGUAGUCUUUUCAAAAGAAAGAAGGAAGUAAUGGCUAGGAUUAAAAGGGUGCAACGUAUAUUAGAAGAUAAACUAAUAAGAAAUUUGAUGAAGUUGGAUUUUUGUCUAAGGCAGGAUAUGGAAUUGAUUCUAGAUUUGGAGGAACUGUUAUGGAACAGAAGUCACGUUGUGAUUAGCUAAUUAAUGAGGAUAGGAAUACUAAAUAUUUCCAUAGACGGAUGCUGAAUAGGAGGAGAAAUAAUAGGAUUGAGGCUCUGAAAUUAAGCAAUGGGUCGUGGAGUUUUGACAAUGAUGUUCUGAAAGAAAAAACUAUUAAUUUUUUCAAAAAUCUCUAUACUAUAGAAGGAUCAAUUAGCAGGAUAUUGAUGUGUGCGAAUUACUUUCCUCAGCUAAAUGAUGGUGAAAUACAUAACCUUUGUAUGGAGGUGACAGAUUUGGAAACAAAUGCAUUUUUGGAUAGUAUGGCACCGUUGAAGGCACUGGGAAUUGAUGGGCUGCAUGCAAUUUUUUUUCAGAGCCAAUAGAAUAUUGUUGGCCCCUCAGUGUGUCGUGUAGUAAAAGAUGUGUUUGCGGGUCAACCUUUGAAUCCAAGUCUGCAUACUACCCUGCUAGUGUUACUUCCAAAGGUGAAUAACCCAGAGGCUUUUUCUCAAUUCAGACCAAUCAGCCUCUGUUUAGUGUUAUAUAAGAUCAUUACGAAGACUUCAGUCAACAGGCUAAAAAUAAUCAUGAUGAAGCUACGUCUCCAAACCAAGUCAAUUUUGUGUCGGGUCGCUAAAUUAUGGACAACAUAAUAAUUGUUCAGGAGGCUAUACAUACGAUGUGCACUUUGAAAGAUAGGAUUGGUUGGAUGGCAAUCAAAAUAGACUUAAAGAAAGCCUAUGACCGAAUCCGAUGGGAUUUCUUGAAGGAUACUCUUAAGACUGCUGGGUUACCAUCAACAAUUUGUAAUUUAAUUACGAAUUGUGUAACAAUAUCUUCAAUGUAGGUAUUGUAGAAUGGAGAGGUUACUCCUGAAUUCAUACCAACUCACAGGGUGUGGAAAGGUGAUCCAAUAUCUCCGUACUUGUUUGUUUUGUGCAAGGAGAGACUAGGUCACUAUAUUCAACAAGCAGUUGAAGAAGGAUAAUGGAAAUCUAUGCAGUUUUCUGUGGAUGGACCUGGGUUAUCUCAUCUGUUUUUUGCGGAUGAUCUUGUGCUCUUUUGUAAAGCAGCACUUGAAUAGGCUAGAAUUUUCAAGGAAAUACUAACAAAAUUCAGUUGUUUCUCAGGCAUAAAGUCAAUAAUCAGAAGUCUCAAAUUUAUUUCUCAGCCAUGGUGGAUAAUUCAGUAGGAAAUGAGAUAAGCGAAUACUUAGGAGUGACAAGAAUGAAUGAUCUCAGCAAGUAUCUGGGCGUUCCUCUAUUACACUCACGAGUUACGAAAGGUACUUAUGCUUUUUUUCAUUGAGAAACUGAGGAAGCAGCUUUCUAGAUGGGAAGGGACACUUCUGUCAUUAGCAGGAUGCCACAGUCUAUGCAAUGGUAACAUUAGAAGGGGAAUGGAACUGGGAGCAUUUUUAAAGGGAUCUCCCAAAGGAAGUUUUCUUGUAUAUUACAGGUAUUCAUCCCCCAAAAGAUGAUGUAUGGGAAGACCAAAUAGCAUGGAGGUUAACGGAUAAUGGCAAAUGCACAGUAGCUAGUGGAUACAGUAAAUUCGCACAUGGUGAUUGGCCCUUACGAGAUCGAAAAUGAAAGUUAAUAUGGAAAUUACAUGUUCCUCAGAGGGUUCGGUAGUUCCUUUGGAUUCUAUUACACAACCGACUCCUAUCCAAUUUAGAACGGUGUAGGAGAGGAAUGGUUGUUAGCCAUUUUUACAAUUUAUGUAGGAGUGGGGUUGAAACACCUUUGCAUGCGGUGAGGGAUUGCUUGGUAGCUCAAAAUCUCUGGGUAAAAUUUGUACUAACAGACAAGUUGGAUAUUUUCUUUUCAUUAAAUUUGGAAGAAUGGUUGAUAACAAA